GCCUGGGUGGCUCAGUCGGUUAGGUGUCUGACUUUAGCUCAGGUCAUGAUCUCAUAGUUUGUGGGUUUGAGCCCCACGUCAGGCU
rnacentral:tRNA from 1 species